GGAGAGAUGGCUCAGUGGUUAAGAGCACUUAGCAGAGGACCUGGGUUCAAUUCCCAGCAUCCA
rnacentral:tRNA from 1 species